rnacentral:rRNA from 1 species
GACGAACGCUGGCGGCGUGCCUAAUACAUGCAAGUAGGACGCAGUUGCGAACGGGUGAGUAACGCGUAGGUAACUAUCUAUUAGAGGGGGAUAACUAUUGGAAACGCUAGCUAAUACCGCAUACUAGUAGCUGGCCCUGGGUUGUAUUAGCUAGUAGGUAGGGUAAUGGCCUAACAAGGAAAGGAUCCAUAGCAGACCGGUGAGGGGUAUCAGCCCCACUGUGACUGAACCACGGCCCAGACUCCUACCGGAGGCAGCAGGUGGGAAUCGUCGGCAAUGGGGGGGACCCUGACCGGGCAACGCCGCGUGAGUUAAGAAGGUUUUCGGAUCGGAAAGCUCGGGUGUGAAGGAAGCGGUACUUACCCAGAAAGGGACGGCUAACUACGUGCCAGCAGCGCGGUAAUUC